AAGGGUAUAGCUCAGUGGUAGAGUACAUGCUUACCAUACACGAGGUCCUGGGUUCAAGCCCCAGUCCCUCCA
rfam:Camelus ferus unplaced genomic scaffold scaffold689, whole genome shotgun sequence.